UUCCAAAGUGUUGAGUUCAGUUCAGGGCAGCUUCCCUGUUCUGUUAAACUUUGGGACACAGAAACACAGGCUAGGGGAGAGGAUUAGAUAGAAAGCACUGCUUUAUUCAUUUACCUCCCAGCCCACAAAA
ensembl:snoRNA small nucleolar RNA SNORA36 family